CGCCUCUUGAAAUUAUAGGAGGUCGCGCCUGCUCAAUGCCCUGCGGGGUGAAUAGCCGCGGUACCCUGACCGUGCUAAGGUAGCGUAAUCAUUAGCCUAUUAAUUGUUGGCCUGUAUGAAUGGCUGGACGCUGGUGAGGCUGUCUCUAUUGUGUUUUGUUGAAAUUAACCUCUUGGUGAAAAGGCCAAGAUUUCCCUGAAAGACGAUUAGACCCUGUCGAACUUUAGGCAGAUUUUAAUGGCGUUUGAGCCAAAUUGAAAAUAAACCUUUGGUUGGGGAAACCGGGGACCACGAAAAACGUCCGCCCUCAGUGCUGCUUAAGCUUAAUAGAUAGGUUAGAGGCUUAGUAUUAAGAUGGCCUUACGGGGCCCUUUUAGCUUAUAUGAUCCAGUUAGUGUUUUCUGGUCAUGGGAAAAGUUACCGCAGGGAUAACAGCGUAAUUCCUCCGGAGAGACCACAUUAAGGGAGGGGUUUGCGACCUCGAUGUUGGCUUAAGGCACCCCUGAAGUGCAGGAGCUUCAAUAGGUUGGUCUGUUCGACCACUAACGCCUUACGU
rnacentral:rRNA from 1 species